rnacentral:rRNA from 1 species
GAUGAACGCUAGCGGCAGGCUUAAUACAUGCAAGUCGAGGGGCAGCAUGAAUGUAGCAAUACAUUUGAUGGCGACCUGCAAACGGGUGCGGAACACGUACACAGCCUUCCUAUAAGUGGGGAAUAGCGCAGAGACAUUUGGAUUAAUACCCCGUAACAUAAUGAUGUGGCAUCACAUUAUUAUUAUAGCUACGGCGAUUAUUGAUGGGUGUGCUGCUGAUUAGAUAGUUGGAGGGGUAACGGCCCACCAAGUCUACGAUCAGUAGCUGAUGUGAGAGGAUGAUCAGCCACACGGGCACUGAGACACGGGCCCGACUCCUACGGGAGGCAGCAGUAAGGAAUAUUGGUCAAUGGACGCAAGUCUGAACCAGCCAUGCCGCGUGAAGGAUUAAGGUCCUCUGGAUUGUAAACUUCUUUUAUCUGGGACGAAAAAAGGCGAUUCUUCGUCACUUGACGGUACCAGAUGAAUAAGCACCGGCUAACUCCGUGCCAGCCGCCGCGGUAAAAC